rfam:Schistosoma rodhaini strain Burundi genome assembly, scaffold: SROB_scaffold0000746
GCACUGCUGAGGAGUCCCACAAUAUGACGAAACGGCCGUCCAGUGU